UUUAAGGUCUAAUCUGCCCUANGAGUAAUUAAAUGGCUGCGGUACUCUGACCGUGCAAAGGUAGCAUAAUAAUUAGUUUCUUAAUUGGAAGCUGGAAUGAACGAUUGGACGAGAAAAUUACUGUCUCAGAUUAAUUUUAUUAGAAUUUUAUUUUUAAGUAAGAAAGCUUAAAUAUUUUUAAAAGACGAGAAGACCCUAUAGAGUUUUAUAAAUUUAAAUAUAUUAUUUUCAUAGAAUUUUUAUAUUAAUAUAUUUAUUUUUAUUUUGUUGGGGUGAUAGAAAAAUUUAAUUAACUUUUUUUAAAUAUUAACNUUUAUUAAUGAAUAAGUGAUCCAUUUUUUAUGAUUAUAAGAUUAAAUUACCUUAGGGAUAACAGCGUAAUUUUUUUUUAGAGUUCUUAUCGAAAAAAAAGGUUGCGACCUCGAUGUUGGAUUAAAAUUAAGGUUUGGUGUAGGGGCUAAAUUGUUAAGUCUGUUCGACUUUUAAAAUUUUACA
rnacentral:rRNA from 1 species